rnacentral:rRNA from 1 species
UCGAAAGAAAGAUUAAUACCUGAUGGUAUGAUGAGAUUGCAUGAUAGCAUCAUUAAAGAUUUAUCGGUGUACGAUGGGGAUGCGUUCCAUUAGGUAGUAGGCGGGGUAACGGCCCACCUAGCCAACGAUGGAUAGGGGUUCUGAGAGGAAGGUCCCCCACAUUGGAACUGAGACACGGUCCAAACUCCUACGGGAGGCAGCAGUGAGGAAUAUUGGUCAAUGGACGAGAGUCUGAACCAGCCAAGUAGCGUGAAGGAUGAAGGUCCUACGGAUUGUAAACUUCUUUUAUAAGGGAAUAAACCCUCCCACGUGUGGGAGCUUGUAUGUACCUUAUGAAUAAGCAUCGGCUAACUCCGUGCCAGCAGCCGCGGUAAUACGGAGGAUGCGAGCGUUAUCCGGAUUUAUUGGGUUUAAAGGGAGCGCAGACGGGUCGUUAAGUCAGCUGUGAAAGUUUGGGGCUCAACCUUAAAAUUGCAGUUGAUACUGGCGUCCUUGAGUGCGGUUGAGGUGUGCGGAAUUCGUGGUGUAGCGGUGAAAUGCUUAGAUAUCACGAAGAACUCCGAUUGCGAAGGCAGCACACUAAUCCGUAACUGACGUUCAUGCUCGAAAGUGUGGGUAUCAAAC